rfam:Oryza glumipatula chromosome 6, whole genome shotgun sequence.
UAUAAAUAUGCUUGUGGAUUUUCGUGUCCAAUGUUUAACUGUCGGUUUUAUUUAAAAAAAAUUAUGAUUAGUAUUUUAAUUGUUAUUAGAUGAUAAAACAUAAACAGUAUUUUACGUGACUAUUUUCUAAUCCUUUUAGAAAUUUUUUAAAUAAGAUGAAGAGUCAAACAUUAAACACGGAAACUCACAGCUAUAAUUACA